UACAGAGGGGGCAAGCGUUGUUCGGAAUUACUGGGCGUAAAGGGCGCGUAGGCGGCCUGCUAAGUCGAACGUGAAAUCCCUGGGCUCAACCCAGGAACUGCGUCCGAUACUGGUUGGCUUGGAUCCGGGAGAGGGACGUGGAAUUCCAGGUGUAGCGGUGAAAUGCGUAGAUAUCUGAAGGAACACCGGUGGCGAAGGCGACGUCCUGGACCGGCAUUGACGCUGAGGCGCGAAAGCGUGGGGAGCAAACAGG
rnacentral:rRNA from 1 species